CAAUCUGUGGGGGAUUGUCACCCCUCGGACAAUCUGGCCCAGUGUUGUCCUAUGCUGUGAUGAAGGAUGGUUGGAAUUAUAUGUUAUUUCUGGAUUCUGCACUGAAAUGAAAGAGAUGCAAGGAUUCUUUUGUAAUUGUUCCUUUCUCGACGGGAGUUUCUGUCUCUACAAGCCAGCAGAGAAACUAGUAACCCUGUCAGCAAGGAAAGGUCACAGCUCUACGGUUCAUAGCGAGCCUGCCACUGAGUUAAAGAUGACCUUUCUAAGGACAUUCGGGUUGAAGAGUGAGGAGAUACUGGCUACCGUUUGCAGGAAACCUGAGCACCCAGAGGAAACUCACGCAGACACGGGGAGA